AGAAUACUUGGGAUCUUCUUUGGCACAGAUCGAUAUAUGCAGAAGAACUGGGAUGGAUUGACCAAUAAGGUUCUAGAAAAUCUAAAUAGAUGGAGAUGGAUUCAAUCACAGCUGUCCUAUAGGAGCAGGGUCCUAGUGAUAAACAACUUGGCUGCCUCGAUGCUGUUGGCUCAAAUUUAGCCUAUUACCCCAAAACACUUAAAAUUCAACUUAGAAGCCAAUACUCACAUCUACCUCAGAGCCCAGUUGGAGAUAGAAAAAAAUACACCAGCCGUGAGUGAGAAGAAGCAAGGGUCCAGAUUUAUUGUUCCGUUCCACCACACGAGAUCCACACCGAUGAGAAUUCUCAGAAGUGAUCCCCCUACCCUGAGCUUAAGCUCCAGUAUUUAUACUGUAUUUACACACUAAAUAGCCCAUAUGUUUCAAGAAGACUAUGAUCUCACUACCAAUAGGGUUGAAAAAGAGCUCAUUUACCUUACUCUUAUGUUCCAGAAAAGGGCUAUUUCACUUACACAUAGAAUUGAAACCAGGGGUUUUAAUUUACACAUAAAAUCAGAACCCAGGCAUUUCUAAUAACCCAGAAAAUAAAAACCCAGAGUUUCCAGUUACUCAGAGGAUCAGAAACCAGAGUUUUCAGUUACCCAGGGCAUCAGAAUCUUCAGUUUUGAUUUACCUAGAGAAUAGAAAGUGGAGGAGACUAAACAAUCUAAUGGGACCUUGGUCUUAUUGUUAUCUCGAGGGGGGGCCAGUUUGACCCAGCCACCCUUAUAACUGGCUCUCUUCAUGGUUCUCUUAAAAUUUAGGCCUCCCUUGCGAGACGAGAAUCUUCACCAUCUGAAUCAUGAGUGCCGGUGCCCGUCGUCAGUCCCUUCUCUUUCCGUUACUGGACCUGGAUCUGGAUCUGGAUCUGGACACUCAUUACCAGCUUGUGCAUCUCACUGCUGAUAUCAUGAUGCUACUUAACUAUCUUCGCAGCACCCCCUCUAGGAAUGGAGAUCCGGGGUUCCCCCCUCUUCUUCGAUACAGAAUCUGCCUACAGCAUCUACAGCAAUCUACAGCAAAUAUGCUGUCCGAAAGAACACGUUAACAUCAAGGGCAACAAGUGCUGAGAUUGUGACGCUGAUGAAAAGGUGGCUGCAGCUGGCUUCAGACCGUGGAGGAGGAUGGAAGAGGUGCAACAAACAGUAGCUUGUCCUGACUAGGAACGCAUAAACCAUUGAAAUCAACGAGGAAAAAAUUCAGCAGUGAUCAGCCUGGAGCUCACGAGUGUAUGCCCAGGAUGACACUCUCUCCCUGGGCAAAGCCUGCGAACUUCGCCCAGAGCUCAGUCCAUGUACUUUCGGAAAUUUCGGCUGUGUGGUCUCGCCGUGAGUGAUGCUACUGUACUUUUGGACAUGUCAAAAUAUUAAGACAAUGGGAAUUCAGUUCAAACAUUUUAAUGAAAUAUUUACACACACACACACACACACACACACACACACACACACACACACACACACACACACACAGGGCCAUUAGCCAAAAACAACCGGCCUAUGUAGCACCUAUGCCCGCAGCGGACUCUAGCGCAGACUGGGCGGAGUGCGCCUCGCUGACCGACAGCUCCACGACUCAGCUAAUUGCUGUAGCACAUCGUCUUGGUCACGAGCAUGCGUUGUUCAUCUUUUGCGUUCGCACUGUGAACAGGAGACAUUUCUCUAUCACUUUAACGUUUAACACAUUGGAAUGAAUUUGUUAAAAAACAUUUUAAUCAUGCUUACGUAGGUUGCUAGAGCUGUGGGGAUGUCCGACACAGUGAUGUCUCUUCCCACGAGUGCCCGCAGGGCAAGCUUGACAUGCGCAGAAAUCCUGGCCUGUGUGCCAGAAAAGAAAAGCCACCCCACAGAAGUCUCAUAUCCCGGCAUAUGCUUCCUCAGG